rnacentral:rRNA from 1 species
UCAACGCUGGCGGCGUGCCUAACACAUGCAAGUCGAGCGAGAAAGGGGGCUUCGGCCCCUGAGUACAGCGGCGGACGGGUGAGUAACGCGUGGGUAAUCUACCCUCGAGUGGGGAAUAACACUGGGAAACUGGUGCUAAUACCGCAUAACACCUCCGGGCCCUCGGGUCUGGGGAUCAAAGCUGGGGACCGUAAGGCCUAGCGCUUGGGGAGGAGCCCGCGUCCGAUUAGCUUGUUGGCGGGGUAAUGGCCCACCAAGGCUUCGAUCGGUAGCCGGCCUGAGAGGGCGGACGGCCACACUGGGACUGAGACACGGCCCAGACUCCUACGGGAGGCAGCAGUGGGGAAUUUUUCGCAAUGGGGGAAACCCUGACGAAGCAACGCCGCGUGGAGGAUGAAGGCCUUCGGGUCGUAAACUCCUGUCGAUCGGGACGAAAGCGCCUCGGCCUAAUACGUCGGGGUGUUGACUGUACCGGUGGAGGAAGCUCCGGCUAACUCU